rnacentral:lncRNA from 1 species
AGAGGAAGGAUGCGCGUGGAUUGCAGAAGAGGAAAUGGAGCGCAGUCAUUGAAUGCAGAAGGGAAAGUGAAUCUGUCCAGUCUUUCCUUUUUAGGUGGAGCCUUCGUUUGAAUUUUAAAUGCUGAACGCAGAAGAGGCAAGUGCGUCUUCAUGAGAUCUUGCUGCCUAAAUAGGAAGAUAUGACUGCUGCAGUGUGUGCACAUCUUUGAAU